GUCUUGGUCUAAGACAUGAGUCAGUUUCUCGAAAUCCAGAAUAAUUCUGUAGUUCCUCAACCAGUCUUUGAAAUUGGAUCCAGUCAAUCUGUGGGUGUCUAGUAUUUUGGUCAGGGGGUUGGAUGCAGACAUGUUUUCUGUAGAGAGUCAAAAGUUUCUAGUUAGAUUUUGUAAUCAGACUUAACCAAUUUGUUUAGAAGUUUUAUUUUUAAACAAAUUAGGCUCCCACUAUUUUCUCAGAUCCCUACACUCCCUAGGUAGAGAUGUAAAAAUCUCUGUGAUUAGUGAUUUUUAAUGGGUGGUGCAGUCUCACCGACUGGCUCAUCACCUCACCUAACAGUUAUUGGUGAUGGGUCAAUCGAUGAGUGGACAACUCUUGUCCAAUGAUUCUCUAAUCAUAGUGCACCCAAAACUU
rnacentral:lncRNA from 1 species